UUUUUGUAGAGUCAUAUGUCAUUGUGUGACUACGGAGCCAAUAAUAAGCUGACAUUUGGGAAAGGAACGACUCUGAGCGUUAUACCAGAUGUCACAGACCCAGAGCCUGCUGUGUACCAGCUGAAAGAUCCCCAGUCUGAUAACAUCACCCUCUGCCUGUUCACCGACUUUGAUUCUCAAACCAAUGUGUCCCAGAGCGCAAGUUCCGAAGCGUUUGUCUCUGGCAAUACUGUGAUGGACAUGAAGGCUAUGGAUUCCAAGAGCAACGGGGCCAUUGCCUGGAGUAACCAAACAAGCUUCAGCUGCAAAGACGCCUUCAAGAAGAACGCCUCCCACCCCACUUCAGAUGUGCCCUGUGAUGCCAAGUUGGUCGAGAAAAGCUUUGAAACAGAUAUGAACCUAAACUUUCAAAACCUGUCAGUCAUGGGACUCCGAAUCCUCCUGCUGAAAGUGGCCGGAUUUAACCUGCUCAUGACGCUAAGGCUGUGGUCCAGUUGAGAUUGAAAGAGCGUGACUCCAAAGCUCCUUCCUCCUCCUCAUCCUCCGCUCCCUCUUCAAGCCAAAAGGAGCCCUCCCACCUCGUAAAGAAGGCUGUCUGAGGACUGACUGGAUCUCCCCGAUCUGUGAAGAAGGUUGCUGGAGAGCUAAGCUCAGCUGUACCCACUCAGCCCCCUUGCUGCUGCUGACCAUUCACAGAGACGCAGGGGCUGGGCUUCUCCUGGAUCUGAAGACCUCCUCUCCCAUGAUAGAUUUCCCAGCAGAAUCUCUUAGAGAAUGUUGUAAAGAAUAUGUUUUUUGUGUGGUUUUUUUUUUUGUAUUUUUAAAGCAUCCAUAAAGAAGUACAUAUUACUCUUUCAUCAAGGUGUAGAAAUUAUCUCAUUGUCUAGACGCUCCCCGCUACUGUGUGUAUUGAGCCACAUUGUAUAUUAUUCUGCUGCCGAUGACGUCAUUAAAGGUGAUUCAGACAAAGCUGAAA